CACAACAAUAUUCCACCUCAGCAUUCACAAAGACCCCUGCUCUCUCCCCUUGGCCCACCGCUGGACCCCCUCAACUAUCCAUGAGCUGAGUUUCAGCAGUAGCUGCUGACACUAAUGAUUCUGAGGCUUCGGAGGUGUGGCCUCUCUGGGGCUAUAUUUGUGCUGGCUCCACUCUCACCAGGCUUGAGUACAUUGUCUCUCUAGCAGGAGAUGCUGUUUUUGAGAACCACACUCAGACAAUGGAGUGACUCCAUAAGAGAGUUACCAGGAAGAAGAGAAAAUCAAGACUCAGUGCAUUAGACUAUCAGUUAAAAAAAUAUGAAUGAAGAUAAUACUUUUUGGUACAAAUCUAUGAUCCUAUGUGGUCACUAACUUCAAGGAUUCAAAGGGCUAUCUGAUGGAAGAUCAUAAAUUUAGUACUGUAGAGGACUUUAGAGGCCAUCCAGAUCAAGCUAAUUUUGCAGUAAAGGAAAAUAAAAAGAGAAAGAUUAGAUAACAUCCUCAUGAGCACAUAAGAACUAAAGUAAGAUUUUGAAUUUAGAUCCUCUAAUAGCCUAUAGCAGAAAGCCCUUCUAGGAAUUCUGUCACAGGGGAUUGAUAUUCAUUUUGUGUAUUUUAUCACCCCAACCUUGAUUAACUUCUGCCCCUUUCUUUCUUUCUCCCCUGGAAACCUUCUAUCUCUUUUUCUGUCACCAUAUCCAUGUCACUCUUCCCUUAUUUUUCCUUCCCCUCAUUUUGCCUCCCCUCUGUUCCUCUCUCAUUUUCCCCUUUCUAUCCUGUUUUCUAUUGCUUUCUACUUGUUUCUCUUUUUAAAAUUAUAUUUUAUGUUCAUCAAAUUUCUAUAAGUAGGUGAGUGACUUGUUCCAUUUUUAUUCUUUGGGACUUGUCAUUUUUCAUGGAGUUUAUCACUGUUUUAUCUUUCCCCUGUAAUGUGGAUUUCAUUAUCUGAAUUCUCUUAAUUCUCCUCACUUCUAUCUAUAAUAGUUCAUAGAGGUUUUUCAAUUUUCCUCUGUAACUGCCCUUUUAAUCA